CUCGGGUAGCCCCGCCGCCGGGCUGGGCCCGCGCACGGCCUCUUCGGCUCUCCGCCUGCACAUCCUUCCUCUCGCUGCGCCCCUGCUGCGCCCCUGCGUGCGAGCGGCCGGCGUCUGUGGCCAGCUCGCUGGUGUUCGUCUGGAGGAAGUGAUAUUUUUGCCACCGAUGAAGGAAGAGGUCCCAGUUGAAAUCGCGGGCAGAGGGGUGUAUUUCGUCUGUGGCCUUCCAGCCCUAGCAAAGGGAGCAGGCUGGAAGCAGGCUGUGCCGAGGUUAUGCUCUUUUCGGUCACAGCUCUCAUGGUGCUGUCUUCUGGGGAACAGCUGUGGCUCCAGAAAGGGACCAGAGGUCUAACGGACGUUAGCGGAGAGAAGAAGCAGAACUUAACUGCCCUUGCCCAUGGGCCUACAAGACACUAAAGAUUUCAUAACAUGGCUGCAACAGCUGUACUCUUUAGUAGUUUUGGGGUGUUACUCUUGGGAAAGCUUGGACUUGUCUAUCAUGGAGAUGCAGUAGUUUGGCUAAGUAUGUUUUAUGUAUGUCCAGAUGGAAAACCAAAGCUUGAUCUUGCUUGACUUGUGAGUAUUGUUGAAAUGUACAGGAAAGACCUGCAAGCUUAUUUGUAUAGCCGCGUAUGUACAGCUAUGCUUUAUUCCUACAGGCUGAGGUGAAGCCUUUAAAGCAUACGUGUUUCAGUACGCUAUUGGUUUUCGAUAGCAUUUCAUUUGCAGUCACCUACGUUCAAUGCUAAUUCCCUGCUAAAACUGUCAAGUCUGUAGAAUGAAAUGAUUACUUUUAUGUUUUUAAUUGUUAGUGAUUAGUUGUUGUUGAAGUGUUUCAUUCCUUAAUCACUGGUUUUCUUAUUUGGUAAAAUAAUUUGAAAGCUAAUUUAAACUCUGCUCCUGCAUCUGCACAGAGACCCAUUAAUGUGAUUGCAGAGCUGGUUUCAGUCUAGGUCCUCAGGCAGUAAUUUCUGAUAGUGAUGUCAUUCAUGUGAUGAAAAAGGGAUGACUAGUGAAUUACAAGUAAGAAGGAAGCGGUAAUUACACUGGUUGGGUUUGUUUUUUAAUAUCUGUCUGAAAGCUCCAACUUGUUUGAAAGGCAGACUUCACCGAGCUGGGUGAAGUGGCUCCUGUUCCCAGGUGUCUGCCUUGUACAUUUGCCAUCCCUGGGGCAGGCAUGGCUGAAACCAUGCGAGCCUGUUCUGUGCCACCACAGGCGAUACCGAUACUGAUACCGCAUAGCUGCUAUGGUUUGCAGCUCACCCUUGUCCGUACCGGGCUCUGUUGCUGCAGGAAUGGUGACGCUUGCCAGCGUCUGUGUCAGCACCAGCCCUGCCCUUGAAGUCCCGUGUGAACUGCUUGUGAGCUACAGGCAUCUCAGUAGCCACUGGUGAACCUGGCCCUUCUGUAGCCAAAGACUCUGUAUUGCCUUUUUGAUCCCAGUUCAGGCUUUCUUGUGCAUAUUCUGUGUCAGUUAUGGCACUUUCUGACCUUUGGAUGUUGAGGAUGAAAGCUUUCAGGUUCUUCUAGCCUUUUGUUGCUUAACAGGUCAGUGAGCCAAGUAAAACCGUGUCUGGGUUUUCCAAGACCUUCAAAUGGAUUGGUGUAGAUUUCUUUGCUUAGUCACUCAGCUUUACAGUUGGUCUUGUUUUCCUUUCCUCAUCAGCUGCCAAGUGAACUUCUGUUGUAACAAGAUGGGCAAGGUCAAAGAAGCAAGCUAACAAAAUAAAAUGACGUGUGGAACAUUAAGCAAAGCCAGAUACAGAACUAGCUGUGCGCCAAGAAUGACUUCCCUGCUCUGAUAACCACCAGUGACUCUGUUAGGAAUUAGGUUACUCUGUUAGGAAUUAGGUUAGUUUGAUGUUUUUUUUUUCUCUUUAGGACAAGUGGCAGAUCUAACUAUGGAAAUCCUUUUUCUGAUGAAGAUGUGGUUGGUUCUGCUUCAGUCAGGGCUUUCUCUUCCUUCCCUCCUUCAUCAGCUUUUAUAUUUCCUGACUCUGAACGGAUUCCAUAUCCAUGCUAUUUAAAGGUGCUUUACCGGAUAAAACCUUAUUACAGCUGAAAAAAACCCGCUAGUCAUCCAAACCAGGAAUAUAUAUCAGUGACAUUUCACCUUUAAGGCUUUUUUUUCAGUGUUACAUAAUUGCAUCAGGUAUUCAAAAAGUAAACAUAACACCAUUUUGCACGUCUUGCUGCCAGACAGACACUAAAAUACAUAAGUCUUUUGGCUGGAAUGUCCAGAUUUAUGGUGGUACUUACUCCCAUGAGUAAGGUCUUGACUGAGUUCCUGGCAUGAGGAACAGCACGUGAGUUGAAUCCAAGAGCAUACCUCUUAGCAUUAAAGAUGCAACUAUUUUGAAAUGGUUUCAAAUAGCAUGGCUGUACUACCAGAAGACAAAACCUUAAUUUUAAAGCCCCAAAAUUAGCAGUAGCUUUCCAGAGGAGUUAGUAGAUCAGCUCUUGUAGCAAACUGUGUUAACUGAAACUGAAAAGUCUUCAAGACAGAGGCCUCUUGCAAUAGGCGUCAUCCAACACAAUACAGGUUCUUGCUGUCAGAUGCCACACUACCUCGUCCUGAUGAACACUGGUGUGUACACCUGUAAAAAAAAAAACAAACCUUUAAAGGAUCAGCAGAUCCUGGUGAUGUGGCUGUCACAAUUUGCUUUUAUUGCUAGGAAGUUGCUUUGAGAAAAGGACAUUCCUAUAAAAAUCGCAAAGGGUGCAAUUAGUACAUUUUUUGUGAAUAUCGUCUCCACUUCUGUCCUCGCCCUGGCCCCAUCCAGGAAACAUAUCCUGGAUCAUCCUCCUAUACAUGUAAGAGCACACGUGGAAGAGAGAUAUUCAUGACAUUUCUCCUUAAGAAAGCUUAACGCAGUUAUUGCAUCAGAUGCAGGAACUGAAACUCGGCUGGGUUUCACAUUUGCUGCUCCAGCUUGGUGCCUGGGGAAAGCUUUUAUCAUCAUUGUUCUCUGCUGUUCAAAGCUGCAGAAGUAGAGACGUGACCGAUGGACUUGGGCCCUGAGCUUCCACCUUGGAAGUCAAGAUCCUCCCGCUCCCUGUUAUGAGAAUGGCAGCAUUGUGCCCUUAUCCUGUAACAGGAAAAAUUAUAAAGAAUUUCAAAAUUUCAAACCUUCCUCCAGUUCUGGUUCCCUCCUGCUGUUUAUACACAUUAGAAGCAAUGCAAAACCAAACAAAAAUAAAAAAACAUACACACCCUGCCCCCCAAAAACUGUUAAUUGAUGCUUUUCCCAAAUCGGAGAGGAUGCAAAUAGGUUGGCAGUUUCAUAAAUAACAGUAGUUAUUGGUUGUGAAGGAUAACAUGCUUGAGAUGGCUCUCACAGUAGUGUUGAAUCCCGAUGAGGCUUAAGAGAACCUGAGUUUAAAGAAAAUAAAAUACUACAUUUUAAUUACAAUAUUGAUAGGGUUGGAGAUGGGGCAGCCUACACAACACUUGCAAAACUGGCAGUUGUUGUUUGCUAACGGGGUUGGACUGCUGUGUGCGUCGGCCAGGAUGUAGCAACAUUCAUUAACUGGGGGAGCAGAAAAGUGGAGUUAAAGCCGUCUUGAUUAUUUUCCUAGAUUACAGAUAGAGAGCACUGUCACUGUAAUUGGUUCCAGAAUUUGACAUUAACGUUGCUGUGAUUAAUUACUCUGAAGUACCUUUGUUGAAAGUAGAUUUAUUUUAGAGAAGGGUAGUAGUUCAUGUCAAUAUUUUUAUUUUCAUGAAUGCUAGUUAGAGAGGGAAGAAUCCUAGAAUUUUGUCCAACACUGUAUUUCUUGUCUCAGUGUGACCAAGCAUGGGUUUUCCUUGUUUUCUUUAUGGACAGUGCUGGAAAAAUUCCCAGCAUUGAACUUGCUUGUAAGUCAAAGAGCCAUGCCCAGUGAGUUGGAAGGAAGCGCUUUGUUAAGGACAGCUUCCUUGUCUGGAAGCACAUGUAAAUGAAGGGGAAAAACAUGCCACAGUCUUGUCAGACAAUCAUUUCUAAUUUUACAGCAGUGUAAUAAUCCUGGGUAUCUGGUUUGUCACUGGGCUCAUUUGACUACACUCGGUAGCAGAAAAUCAAAAAAAAACCCCAAGUUGAAAUCUUAGCUUUUUAAUAAAUGAGCUUGCUUUCUGUGGGCUAAUAUCAGCAGUGAUGUUUACCAUCCAUUUUCACCUUAAUGAUGUUUUUCUUGUCUGAACUUGAACUGUUGCCAUUCAAGGAAAUGCUAACCUGAAAAUAAACUCCUUAAAAGUCGAA